UCUGUUAGAAAAUGACUAGAAUUUUCUAAGGCAGCACUGCCUAAUAGAAAUAUAGUGUGAGCCACACAAUAUAAUUUUUAAGUUUUUAGUAGUCAUUAAAACAAGUAGAAAGAUACCAGUGGAAUUUUAAUAACUGUAUUUCUAUACUGCUGCUCCUUCUAUUGAAUCUAACUUAAAAUUCCAUGUAACCCUCACAUGUGGGUAUGAAAAACAUUAACAGGAAAUGCUAAUAUAGGGAGUCAGUGAAGCUGGGGUAGGAAAUUGAUGAUGUGAUACCGGAAGUGAUCUGGCAGGGCUUUAAAGUAAUGCCAGAGGUCCUUCCAGGCAGUUCUCAACUUGCUCCUUGGCUGUUCUCCUGACACUUAAGUCAGAGCAUUCUGUAGCUGUAUUUUACAGAACUGUAAUUGCACAGAUUGUUCCUCUUACAAGAGAAAUAUCCAGAGCUCUAAGAAAACAACUGAUGAAAACGACAUGCGUGACAUUUGGUGCUGAAGACCCAGGUCAGAGAGACUCCUUUGGGGGACCAGUCCGCUGUCCUUGCCCUCACUCUGUGAGGAGACCCACCUACGACCUCGGGUCCUCAGACCAACCAGCUCAAGGAACAUCUCACCAAUUUCAAAUCGGGACCCCACUGGAAAAUGGACUGUCCAACUCACCCGGCAGCCACUCCCAGAGCCCCUGGAACUCUGGCCCAAGGCUCUCUGACUGACUCCUUCCCAGAUCUUCUCGGCUCAGCAGCUGAAGACUGACACUGCUUGAUUGCCUGGGAAGCCUAUAGGACCAUCACAGACACUUUGGAUAACUCUUACAGUGAAGGUGUCUGGAGUUUCCCCUAUGGACGCUCUCUCCUGCCACCAUACAAAAAAGCGCCACUGCAGGGAGGAAUGCCAGGGUCCCAUAGAGGGAGACCGACAGUGAAGUGGAGCCUGCCAUGAAUUCACCAAAGGCCAUUCUCCCUUUCUUCCAGAAGAACAGCAUUUAGCUGGGCCUAUGGCUACCUACCUAAAGACUGCACCUCUUAGUCACCCUUGUGGCCAGGUGUGGCCACGUGACAGUGGAAUGUAAGUGGAAGUGAUGUAUGCACUUGGGUUCAUUGGUUUAAAAAAAAAUAUGACCGCCCUCCAUUUCCACUCUUUGUCUUAUCUGUGAAUGGGAACAUGGCUGUGUCUGCAGCCCGACUUUGUGCAGCAAAGGACAAGGCCCUAGGGGAAGGUGGAGAAACAAGAUGGAACAACUUGGACCCAACAACUUGGAUCCCUAUGUGGCCAUGUGGAGUCAUCUCACCCACCUGGGCCACUCACCCCGAAGACUGUUGUGUGAGGGUGAAAUAAACUUCUGUAUCACUAGCCCCUGCAUUUCAGAAAUUCUUUGUUAUGGCAGUUUUGCCUUUAUCCUAACACAGACAGCAAAGUAUCUUCUGUGGCCCCAUGACUAAUUUCGUUGUUUAAACUCAUUAUAAAAACUAUAUAAAUAAAAUAUUAAAAAUCAAAUAAAAUAGCAAGAUAACACUGUGUAACUAUCCAGUUUUAGAUGUUAUUACCUUUUUGGCAUAUUUACCUCAUCUAUUUUCUCCAGGGGUUUUUAAAGAAGAGUCAUGCUUGUUAUUUUAAAUUAUCUGCAGUGCUCCUUGGUCUUAUAAAACUAUGGGUUAUUUCAAACUUCGGUAAAUGUCUGAUACACAUGAACUUCUUGCAUUGUUGAGGAAAUCAGAGAAAAAUGAUGCUGUUUUUCCCUUGUAAGUUGACAAUGGAUGGAGAUGAAACCACCUUUGCAAAAUUAUGGCAAUAAGAGAAAUUGGACAUGGCAGACUCCAUCUUGCUUUUAGCCUCACAGGUUGGCUGUCUUGGCUCAUUCCUGGGCAUAAGCCAAGCUAACUUUGGCAGAAAUUGAGUUUAUAGUGUAAACGAUAAUAGCCUUUCCCCAAAACUAAACUACCCUUGUAAAAUUAAUGAAAGGCCACCAAGUUAGGAGGAUGAGAAGGGCCUGAAUGCCUGAAUUCAGCCAUUAUUCUGGAAGUCACAAGAUGUGCAACCUCCCCAGUUACUCCUGUAAAUAACUUCAGUAUUGUAGAACCUAAGAUUGGCCUUUUGACAGCCUUUUGCAUUUCUGACAACUAGAUGGCCCCACGCAGACCCGUGACUCAACCAGUCCUAUAGCCUUCAUCCAAAAAUGGACUCAGUGCAUGAGGACUGUUUUCCACACCCUUAUGAUUGCAUCCCAAACCAAUCAGCAGCACCCAUACCCUAUCCCCUGCACACCAAACUAUCUUUGAGAAACUCCUAACCUCUGAUUCUUUGGUGAGAUUGAUUUAAGUAAUAACUCUGUCUCCCACAUGGCGUGGCUGGCGUCGUGUCAAUUAAACUCUUUCUUUACUGCAAUGCCAUGGUCUCUAUGAAUUGAUUUUGUUUUGCAG
rnacentral:lncRNA from 10 species